rnacentral:rRNA from 1 species
CCUACGGGAGGCAGCAGUGGGGAAUAUUGCACAAUGGGGGAAACCCUGAUGCAGCGACGCCGCGUGAAGGAAGAAGGAUUUCGGUAUGGAAACCUCUAUCAGCAGGGAAGAAAAGGACGGUACCUGACUAAGAAGCCCCGGCUAACUACGUGCCAGCAGCCGCGGUAUUACGUAGGGGGGAAGCGUUAACCGGAUUUACUGGGUGUAAAGGGAGCGUAGGCGGUUUAGCAAGUCAGAAGUGAAAGCCCUGGGCUCAACCCCGGGACUGCUUUUGAAACUGGUGAACUAGAUUGCAGGAGAGGUAAGUGGAAUUCCUAGUGUAGCGGUGAAAUGCGUAGAUAUUAGGAGGAACACCAGUGGCGAAGGCGGCUUUCUGGACUGUAAAUGACGCUGAGGCUCGAAAGCGUGGGGAGCAAACAGGAUUAGAUACCCGAGUAGUC